AUAGAUACCCAGGUAGUCCACGCCGUAAACGAUGAGUGCUAAGUGUUAGAGGGUUUCCGCCCUUUAGUGCUGCAGCUAACGCAUUAAGCACUCCGCCUGGGGAGUACGGCCGCAAGGCUGAAACUCAAGGGAAUUGACGGGGGCCCGCACAAGCGGUGGAGCAUGUGGUUUAAUUCGAAGCAACGCGAAGAACCUUACCAGGUCUUGACAUCCUCUGCCAACCCUAGAGAUAGGGCGUUCCCCUUCGGGGGACAGAGUGACAGGUGGUGCAUGGUUGUCGUCAGCUCGUGUCGUGAGAUGUUGGGUUAAGUCCCGCAACGAGCGCAACCCUUGAUCUUAGUUGCCAGCAUUCAGUUGGGCACUCUAAGGUGACUGCCGGUGACAAACCGGNGGAAGUGGGGAUGACGUCAAAUCGAUCAUGCCCCUUAUGACCUGGGCUACACACGUGCUACAAUGGAUGGUACAAAGAGUUGCGAAACCCGCGAGGGUAAAGCCCGAAAUCUCAUAAAAGCCAUUCUCAGUUCCGGA
rnacentral:rRNA from 1 species